CCUCCCUCCCCAAGUGGAUAUGUGGCUGUGCAGACCAGGAGGCCCCCAGAAGGACUGAGUGUUGAGAAGGGAUGGCCAUGAGGUUGUGACAAGCUCCCCCCAUCCCCAGCCUCCAUGUAGGGAGCAUCCAGCGAAUGCAUGUGCUAUGCUGCUACAGGCACAGUGGAUAGGAGACUCUCUGGGAAGGGUAGGGCACUGACCAUUGCAGAAAUGGGUUUUAAAUGGCACAACAUUUUUUAUUCCACAUGAGACCAAAAGCUAGAGGUCUGGGAUUAAGCCCUGACUGCUGGCAAGCUUAGGACCAAGUGGGGUACCCUUCUUCACAGACACAUCCGACACGCUCUGUCUGGGAAUGAGAGAGUAGCCAGACUGAGCACAGGAGCAGGUCAUAGUGGGACUGGAGGUUUGGAAACACUAUUUCGUAGCUCAAAUAAAGUCCAGUUUGUACCC
rnacentral:lncRNA from 1 species